GCUUGUCCUGGGGGAGGACUUCGGCGAUGACGUCCUGGGCGGGGAUGCCGACCUGGGCGGCGACGGAUUGGGCGGCGGCGCGGUUGUCGCCGGUGAGCA
rnacentral:tRNA from 1 species